ACGGAGGGUGCAAGCGUUAUUUGGAUUUAUUGGGCGUAAAGGGCGCGUAGGCGGCUUAUCAGGUCGGAUGUGAAAGCCCGCAGCUUAACUGCGGAAGUGCAUCCGAAACCGGCAGGCUUGAGUGUGGGAGAGGGAAACGGAAUUCCCGGUGUGGGGUUGCAAUGAGUAGAGCUGGGGAGGAACCCCUGAGGCGAGAGCAAUUUCCCGGACCAAAACUGCCUCUGGUGCGGGCGGGCGCGGUGAACUAGCAG
rnacentral:rRNA from 1 species